rnacentral:rRNA from 1 species
AUUGAACGCUGGCGGCAUGCUUUACACAUGCAAGUCGAACGGUAACAGGCCGCAAGGUGCUGACGAGUGGCGAACGGGUGAGUAAUGCAUCGGAACGUGCCCAGUCGUGGGGGAUAACUGCUCGAAAGAGCAGCUAAUACCGCAUACGAUCUAUGGAUGAAAGCGGGGGACCGUAAGGCCUCGCGCGAUUGGAGCGGCCGAUGUCAGAUUAGGUAGUUGGUGGGGUAAAGGCUCACCAAGCCAACGAUCUGUAGCUGGUCUGAGAGGACGACCAGCAACACUGGGACUGGGACACGGCCCAGACUCCUACGGGAGGCAGCAGUGGGGAAUUUUGGACAAUGGGGGCAACCCUGAUCCAGCGAUGCCGCGUGCAGGAAGAAGGCCUUCGGGUUGUAAACUGCUUUUGUACGGAACGAAACGGUCUGGGUUAAUACCCUGGGCUAAUGACGGUACCGUAAGAAUAAGCACCGGCUAACUACGUGCCAGCCGCCGCCGUAACAC